AUGACGAUCGAUCUGUCGUCGUACGUGUCGAUUAUUCCAAGACAGUCAGAGGCUAUGAGCAAAGCUCUUUUGGAUCCUGUUGAGUGCUUGUUCCCCCCAAGUUCAGUUUAGAUAUAUAUAUAUGGCGUAGCCUGAUGGAGACGCUUAACUGUUGAUGAUGAGCAAGCCCGAUCUAUUCUCUUAUGAAUUAUGUUCUAGCU
rnacentral:lncRNA from 7 species